CUGCAGCCCGAGUGGUGAUCGAUUUUAUUGAGCCUAAAGCGUCCGUAGCCGGACUAGUAAACCCUUGGGUAAAUUGGGCGGCUUAACUGUCCAAAUUCCGAGGGGACUGCUAGUCUUGGGACCGGGAGAGGUCAGAGGUACUCAAGGGGUAGGGGCUAAAUCCUGUAAUCCUUUGGGGACCACCAGUGGCGAAGGCGUCUGACUAGAACGGAUCCGACGGUAAGGGACGAAACCCUGGGGCGCGAACCGGAUUAGAUACCCGAGUAGUCC
rnacentral:rRNA from 1 species